AAGACUAUACUUUCAGGGAUCAUUUCUAUAGUAUGUGACUAGAGAAGUUUCUCUGAACGUGUAGAGCACUGAAAAACUGCUAGU
rnacentral:snoRNA from 1 species